AUCUUCAUAGACAUGAAAGACCCCCAGAGUGGGGAGAACCUCACUCAAGUCUUGGGAUGACGCGACCCCCCCAAGAACUCACACAAGACC
rnacentral:pre_miRNA from 14 species